CACAUGCAGGGAGAAGCCAUGUGCAGAUUGGGGUUUUGCUGCCACAAGCCAGGGAACCAUUGAAAGCAUGGAGAGGGACCUGAAGGGUGGGGGAGGAGGGGCACAGCCCCGCCUGCUGCUUUAGCCUGGACUUCUAGCUCCAGAACCACGAGAUAAUAAAUUUCUGUCGUGGGACCAUCAAUGUGUGGUGCCCUGUUAUGGCAGCCCCGGCACACCGGGUGUCUGUCUGCACAGCUCCCGAGGCUGUCCACAGUCCUUGGUCUGUGCCCUUUCCUCUGUCUGCAAAACCAGAGAUGUCGCAUCUCUCUGAUCCUCCGUUCUUAGUCACCCACCUCUGCCCACGGCCGGGAAAGUCUCUCCAGUCCAAAGGGAUCACGCCAUUACCUGGGGCCCACCUGGAUGAGCCAGGAGAAGCGCCCCGUCUCAAGGUCCUCACCUCCACCCUGGUUGCAAAGACCCUUUGCCACAGUUCCUAUGGGAUCAGUGGGCUCGGUCUUUGCAGACAGAUAAAUCUCUCCGCAACACAAAGAACGCUGUGUGAAACAUUUGCCGAAACUGAAACAACUUUCAAGAAUAAUGGGGAUCGUCUGAUGAACACUUCUUUUUCCCAUUCCUUUCAUAAUUAAAAGGAAAAUUUUAAGCUCAGGCAAGGCAGUGGAAAUGUACCUAAUGAAAAUUCUGUUGGACCCAUUCCAUUUUCUUGGUUUGUUGCCAGACUAAGUAUUAAAUGUUAGUGCAAACAAUA